CUCUAAUACAUAUGUUUUGGUCAUGUCCAUCCCUCAAACAAUACUGGAUUAAUAUUUUUCUGACUUUAUCAAAGACCAUCCAGCUAACCCUCCAACCUGUGCCCUUAACUGUUUUGUUUGGGGUUCUUCCUGAUACAGUUGCCUUGCCGACGCCCCAAGCGGAUCUGGUAGCAUUUCUCACCUUAUUGGCAAGACGCAGAAUAUUGUUAUGUUGGAAGUCCCCUUCUCCCCCAUCCUGGGAAAUCUGGAUCAGAGACGCUUUGCAUUUUAGCAAACUCGAAAAGAUUAAAUUCACCCUGCGUGGGUCUAUGGCCAAAUUUUUUAAGACCUGGCAACCCUUGUUUGACCAUGUUCAGACUUUGCGGUCUCGCAACGCUCCCAAUUAGCCAGCUUAGACUUUAUUAGAUUUUAUUUUAUCUUAUGUUUAAGUAAGAUGUUUAAGUUUAAGUAUAUGGACUCUAUUGUGCCUGCGCCUUAUGAUGGCUUACUUACCUACUUUAUACAUAUUUCUUUUCUCUUACAGAAUUGACUUAUCUCUACAACUAAGCUGACCACUCAUUAUGUUUGUGUUUUAUUUGUGUUUUUUUUUUGUUUUGGUUUUUCUUGGUUUGUGUGUUUUGUUUUUUCUGUGUCUGUGUGGGGGUGUGGGCUUUGAAACUCUCCACAUAUCUCUUGUACACUCAGGAACUGUUAUCUUGUACUCCAGGGUUUGCUACUCGUAUUAUUAGAUUGGACCCUUUCUUUUUUCUUUUUGUACACCCACUGAUACUCCUAUAAUUAUGAGGUGGGAGUGUAUGUUUCAUAUUGUUUUAUGUUCUUCAUAAAACCUUAGAAAAACCAGUCUUGAGAUAUUUCUUGUCCCAGUCUUGACGUUUCAGCUUGUGUGUCUUGUUCAGUGGUGGUCGUCUUUCAGCCUUUCUUACCUUGGCCAUGUCUCUGAGUAUUGCACACCUUGUGCUUUUGGGCACUCCAGUGAUGUUGCAGCUCUGAAAUAUGGCCAAACUGGUGGCAAGUGGCAUCUUGGCAGCUGCACGCUUGACUUUUCUCAGUUCAUGGGCACUUAUUUUGCGCCUUGGUUUUUCCACACGCUUCUUGCGACCCUGUUGACUAUUUUAAAUGAAACGCUUGAUUGUUCGAUGAUCACGCUUCAGAAGCUUUGCAAUUUUGAGACUGCUGCAUCCCUCUGCAAGAUAUCUCACUAUUUUUGACUUUUCUGAGCCUGUCAAGUCCUUCUUUUGACCCAUUUUGCCAAAGGAAAGGACGUUGCCUAAUAAUUAUGCACACCUGAUAUAGGGUGUUGA
ensembl:lncRNA